AUGCAUGCACUGCACUGGACCAAAGGAAAGGAUAGAGGGAGUGAGAGGAGGAUGCCGAGGCCAUGGAGACCGGUGCUGGCGUCGGCAACCAAGUGCUGCAGCUCCGAGGACGCCUUGGUGGCCGGGAACGAGCUCACGCGCUGCCGCCCGGCACGCUCCGAGUUCUCGCGCCGUCUCGCCUCCUUCCGCCGCCUUUCCUCCAUGACCAACAGCCCCGCCACGCCCAUGGACGGCAAGGACCACGAGGCCGCGGCGGAGAUGGGCGUGGGCCCCAUGCAGCUGCACUCCUUCAGCCUCAACGAACUCCGCGGCGUCACGCAUGACUUCUCCAGCGGCUACCUACUCGGGGAGGGCGGAUUCGGCACCGUCCACAAGGGCUUCGUUGACGCCGGCAUGCGACCCGGCCUUGAGCCCCAGGCAGUCGCCGUCAAGCAGCUCGACAUCGCCGGCCACCAGGGCCACAGGGAGUGGCUGGCCGAGGUGAUCUUCCUUGGGCAGUUCCGGGACCAGCACCUGGUGAAGCUACUUGGGUACUGCUGCGAGGACGAGGAGCGCCUCCUCGUCUAUGAGUUCAUGCCGCGCGGCAGCCUCGAGAACCACCUAUUCAAAAGGAUAUCCGCGACGCUACCGUGGGGCACCAGGCUCAAGGUCGCCAUCGGCGCCGCCAAGGGUCUCGCCUUCCUCCAUGGCGCCAAACAGCCCGUCAUCUACCGGGAUUUCAAGGCAUCCAACAUCCUCCUCGACUCGGAAUUCACGGCGAAGUUGUCAGACUUCGGACUGGCCAAGAUGGGUCCCGAGGGAGAGGACACGCACGUCACCACCCGCGUGAUGGGCACCCACGGCUAUGCGGCGCCCGAGUACUUGCAGACAGGCCACCUCACGAUGAAGAGCGACGUGUACAGCUUCGGUGUGGUGCUGCUGGAGCUCCUCACGGGCCGCCGGGCCAUGGAGCACGUCCACAGCCGGAGCGCGCACGCUGAGCAGACCAUCAAGCUCGUGGAGUGGACCCGGCCCUACCUCGCCAGCAGCCGCCGCCUCCGCUGCAUCAUGGACCCUAAGCUGGCGGGGCACUACUCCGUCAAGGGCGCACGCGCGGUGGCGCACCUCGCAGUGCAGUGCACCAGCGCGCAGCCCCGGGACAGGCCAAGCAUGGCCACCGUGGUCGAGGCACUCGAGCGGCUGGAGGGGCUCAAGGACAUGGCUGUCAGCAUAGGGCUCUGGCCCACCGCGCCCGUGGCCGGGAGGAGCGCGCUCUCCGCCAAAUUUCGAGCCGAGAUGAAGGGUGCCGGCAGCGGCAGCGGCGCCGUCUUGAGGCGCAGAAGCGCGUCCGCCAAGCUGUUGUGA
rnacentral:rRNA from 1 species